UCCAUUCUUCUUCCAAGCCCAUUUACUGGCAAAAGAGAGCACAAGUAGGAACAGAAUAUGGAAAAGAUCACUUCUGAAUUUGCACUGAUUUCAGAUAAUUGGUAAACAAGAGGAAAAUGAAAUGUGACCAUUCAAAUAACAGGCAUCACAGCUUCAUCUUCACCAAUUUC